rnacentral:lncRNA from 1 species
GAUUUUAAGAAAAUGAGCUUUAUAUUUUUCUUCUCCUUUGAUUUAUAAAUAGAGCACAUAAUAAAUCAAGCAAAUAAGUAUAAAUAUCAAACAACUAAUCAAUAAGCAUACUCAAUUUUCAAAAAGAAAUCAUGUUUUCAUUGAUUUUUAAAAAGUGAUUGCAAGAAGUGAUUACAUCAAUAUAUCCAAAGGAAUUAAAAAAAAAAU